rnacentral:misc_RNA from 1 species
GAUGAAGAACGCAGCGAAAUGCGAUAAGUAAUGUGAAUUGCAGAAUUCAGUGAAUCAUCGAAUAUUUGAACGCUCAUUGCGUCCGCCAGUAUUCUGGCGGGCAUGCCUGUUCGAGCGUCAUUACAACCCUCAGGCCCCCGGGCCUGGCGUUGGGGAUCGGCGGAAGCCCCCUGCGGGCACAACGCCGUCCCCCAAAUACAGUGGCGGUCCCGCCGCAGCUUCCAUUGCGUAGUAGCUAACACCUCGCGACUGGAGAGCGGCGCGGCCACGCCGUAAAACACCCAACUUCUGAAUGUUGACCUCGAAUCAGGUAGGAAUACCCGCUGAACUUAAGCAUAUCAAUAAGCGGAGGA